rnacentral:siRNA from 1 species
GUCCAUUGCAGGGACCUUACAAGU